rnacentral:rRNA from 1 species
GAUGAACGCUGGCGGCGUGCCUAAUACAUGCAAGUCGAGCGAAUGGAUUAAGAGCUUGCUCUUAUGAAGUUAGCGGCGGACGGGUGAGUAACACGUGGGUAACCUGCCCAUAAGACUGGGAUAACUCCGGGAAACCGGGGCUAAUACCGGAUAACAUUUUGAACCGCAUGGUUCGAAAUUGAAAGGCGGCUUCGGCUGUCACUUAUGGAUGGACCCGCGUCGCAUUAGCUAGUUGGUGAGGUAACGGCUCACCAAGGCAACGAUGCGUAGCCGACCUGAGAGGGUGAUCAGCCACCCUGGGACUGAGACACGGCCCAGACUCCUUCGGGAGGCAGCAGUAGGGAAGCUUCCGCAAUGGACGAAAGUCUGACGGAGCAACGCCGCGUGAGUGAUGAAGGCUUUCGGGUCGUAAAACUCUGUUGUUAGGGAAGAACAAGUGCUAGUUGAAUAAGCUGGCACCUUGACGGUACCUAACCAGAAAGCCACGGCUAACUACGUGCCAGCCGCCGCGGUAA